rnacentral:rRNA from 2 species
AGGUUAAGUUAACAAGGGCGUAUGGUGAAUGCCUUGGCACUAGGAGCCGAUGAAGGACGGGACUAACACCGAUAUGCUUCGGGGAGCUGUACGUAAGCUAUGAUCCGGAGAUUUCCGAAUGGGGCAACCCAGCAGUUUUAAUCAACUGUUACCACUAGAUGAAUUCAUAGUCUAGUUGGAGGUAAACGCUGUGAACUGAAACAUCUCAUUAGCAGCAGGAAUAUAAAGAAAUUUCGAUUCCCCAAGUAGCGGCGAGCGAACGGGGAACAGCCCAAACCAAAGUGCUUGCACUUUGGGGUUGUAGGACUGAACAUUUGAGUUACCAAAGAACUUGAUAGUCGAAGGAUUUGGGAAAAUCCGCCAUAGAUGGUGAUAGCCCAGUAGAUUAAAUCAAAUUCUCUCAGUUCAGGAUCCUGAGUACGGCGGAACACGUGAAAUUCCGUCGGAAUCCGGGAGGACCAUCUCCCAAGGCUAAAUACUACCUAGUGACCGAUAGUGAACCAGUACCGUGAGGGAAAGGUGAAAAGCACCCCGGGAGGGGAGUGAAAUAGUUCCUGAAACCAUGUGCCUACAAUAAGUCAGAGCGCGUUAAUGCGUGAUGGCGUGCCUUUUGUAGAAUGAACCGGCGAGUUAUGAUCCCGUGCAAGGUUAAGACUAAAAAGUCGGAGCCGUAGCGAAAGCGAGUCUGAAAUGGGCGAUUUGAGUACGAGGUUAUAGACCCGAAACCAGGUGACCUAUCCAUGUCCAGGUUGAAGGUGCGGUAAAACGCACUGGAGGACCGAACCCGUGUAAGUUGAAAAUUGCUGGGAUGAGGUGUGGAUAGCGGUGAAAUUCCAAACGAACUUGGAGAUAGCUGGUUCUCUCCGAAAUAGCUUUAGGGCUAGCCUCGGAUUAAGGAUCAUGGAGGUAGAGCACUAUUUGGACUAGGGGCCCGUCUUGGGUUACUGAAUUCAGAUAAACUCCGAAUGCCAUUGAUUCAUGUCCGGGAGUCAGACGAUGAGUGAUAAGAUCCACCGUCGAAAGGGGAACAGCCCAGACCAUCAGUUAAGGUCCCUAAAUGUAUGCUAAGUGGAAAAGGAUGUGGAGUUGCAUAGACAACUAGGAUGUUGGCUCAGAAGCAGCCACCAUUUAAAGAGUGCGUAAUAGCUCACUAGUCGAGUGAUCCUGCGCCGAAAAUGUACCGGGGCUAAGCAUACUACCGAAACCAUGGAUGCGACCAUUAGGUCGCGUGAUAGGAGAGCGUUCUAAGGGCGGUGAAGCAAGAUCGUGAGGACUUGUGGAGCGCUUAGAAGUGAGAAUGCCGGUAUGAGUAGCGAAAGAUAGGUGAGAAUCCUAUCCACCGAAUGACUAAGGUUUCCUGGGGAAGGCUCGUCCUCCCAGGGUUAGUCGGGACCUAAGUCGAGGCCGAGAGGCGUAGACGAUGGAUAACAGGUUGAGAUUCCUGUACUAGUUAAGUGCGUUUGAGCAAUGGAGGGACGCAGGAGGCUAAGAUGUGCAUUCUGUUGGAUUAGAAUGUCCAAGCAGUAAGCCUUGUGGAGAGUCAAAUGCUUUUCACUUUAAGGACAAGCUGUGAUGGGGAGCGAAAUUUAGUAGCGAAGCGUCUGAUGUCACACUGCCGAGAAAAGCUUCUAGUGAGUACUUAACUACCCGUACCGCAAACCGACACAGGUAGUCGAGGAGAGAAUCCUAAGGUGAGCGAGUGAACUCUCGUUAAGGAACUCGGCAAAAUGACCCCGUAACUUCGGGAGAAGGGGUGCUGAUCGCAAGAUCAGCCGCAGUGAAUAGGCCCAGGCGACUGUUUAUCAAAAACACAGGUCUCUGCAAAAUCGUAAGAUGACGUAUAGGGGCUGACGCCUGCCCGGUGCUGGAAGGUUAAAAGGAUGGGUUAGCUUCGGCGAAGCUCAGAAUUGAAGCCCCAGUAAACGGCGGCCGUAACUAUAACGGUCCUAAGGUAGCGAAAUUCCUUGUCGGGUAAGUUCCGACCCGCACGAAAGGCGUAACGAUCUGGGCACUGUCUCAACGAGAGACUCGGUGAAAUUAUAUUGUCCGUGAAGAUGCGGACUACCCGCGACAGGACGGAAAGACCCCAUGGAGCUUUACUGUAGCUUGAUAUUGAGUGUUUGUACAGCUUGUACAGGAUAGGUAGGAGCCAUAGAAACCGGAACGCUAGUUUCGGUGGAGGCGUUGGUGGGAUACUACCCUCGCUGUAUGACCACUCUAACCCGCACCACUAAUCGUGGUGGGAGACAGUGUCAGGUGGGCAGUUUGACUGGGGCGGUCGCCUCCUAAAAAGUAACGGAGGCGCCCAAAGGUUCCCUCAGAAUGGUUGGAAAUCAUUCGCAGAGUGUAAAGGCACAAGGGAGCUUGACUGCGAGACAGACAGGUCGAGCAGGGACGAAAGUCGGGCUUAGUGAUCCGGUGGUACCGUAUGGAAGGGCCAUCGCUCAACGGAUAAAAGCUACCCUGGGGAUAACAGGCUUAUCUCCCCCAAGAGUCCACAUCGACGGGGAGGUUUGGCACCUCGAUGUCGGCUCAUCGCAUCCUGGGGCUGUAGUCGGUCCCAAGGGUUGGGCUGUUCGCCCAUUAAAGCGGUACGCGAGCUGGGUUCAGAACGUCGUGAGACAGUUCGGUCCCUAUCCGUCGCGGGCGUAGGAAAUUUGAGAGGACCUGUCCUUAGUACGAGAGGACCGGGAUGGACAUACCUCUGGUGUACCAGUUGUGCCGCCAGGCGCAUCGCUGGGUAGCUACGUAUGGAUGUGAUAAACGCUGAAAGCAUCUAAGUGUGAAACACACCUCGAGAUGAGAUUUCCCAUUCCUUUAUGGAAGUAAGACCCCUGAAAGAUGAUCAGGUAGAUAGGUUAGAAGUGGCAGUGCGGUGACGCAUGAAGCGGACUAAUACUAAUCGGUCGAGGACUUAACCAAG